GGUUUCCAUUUCUUAUCCAAAAUUGCUGCUUGCUCUCCAAGAAUACUCACAUAAUUGAUGCUACAUAAGAACCUCACUUGAACAGACUAAAGGAGGAUACCUGAAAAACAGAGGACACAUCCUUUGCAAAACAGAUCUGGAAAAAAAAAAGCGAGAAAAGAGCACGAAAAAGCAGCAACUCUUUCUUCUUCGACCAAGCAAAAUCGUUCUCCGUUAAAACCAACAGCCAAUCAAGCUCUUAAACCCAGUCCUCCUGAGCUUAAAGCGAAAGCUCCGGUUAGAAUUUCCAAGUUGAGAUGGGAAAAGCUAUCGGUCUCAAAGGGGUCAAAAAUGAGAGUGUUGAUCUGUCCAUUCCUAGUUCGAUUUCUUGUUGCCGAUCGAGGUUUCCGGUUCGAGUGUUUGUCCUAUAGCUCGCUCAAGAUUCAUUGUUUUGGAUCUUCUUUUACUAUAACCGUCGGAAAAUUUCAGCAAUAAAAGAACAUGAUCACCUCGAGGAUGUUGAUUGGAGCAUGUGAACAAAGAGAUGGACUAUACUAUUUUUAAAACAAGACGAGGGUGUGUGCCUGAAGAUAGGUGGUGUUGACUCGUUGGAUCUUUGGUACAAGCAUUUGGGACAUCCUUCUCUGCGAGUGACCAAAUUAAUUUUUGUUGUAGAUUUUCAGAAAAAAAAUUAACGUUUUGAAUAAGAGUUGUGAUGUGUGUCAUCGGGCAAAACAAAAGAGAGAAAAUUUUCCUUUGAGUAA